rnacentral:lncRNA from 1 species
CGUGCAAGCCCGGAGGCUUGCGUGUAGGUGGGCUGGCCGUCCCUCGCGUGUGUGUGAGUGUGAGUGACCGGGAGUGUGAGUGGGGGGGCGCUCUGGCCCUUCCCAGUGUGGGGCCCGCGGAGACACCGUUCGGGGGCUGCCCAGAGCCGCCCGGCUUUCUGGCUGCGGAGAAGGUUGUGGAGCCUGACGGGUCACUGACACCCGAAAAGGGAUACUGUGCUGGAUUUUGUCCGUGCGAUUCCUUCCAAGGCAGUGCCUGCAGCCAGCAUCAAAGUGGGCUGGGAAGAGGAUGAGUCUCCACCCAGCCGAGGCUCUGAGCCAUGCGUGGAUCCCUGAGCUGCUGAAGCAAGAGAAGUGCUGGGUCCCUGUCAUUGUCAUUUGCUGUGCAGCACUAGUGUGUGCGAGCCUCACCUGUGCUCGGCGUUGGAGGAAACAAAUCAUAAAAAGCACCGUCUCGAGGAUUUCUCGAGGAAUGCAGCAGCUUUUAUCAGUAGAAAGUAGGUGUGCAGACCCUGUGCCCAUGAGCCCAGCUCAGUCCUUUUGGCGGGGGAUCGGGUGAGACCCUGAGAUUCUGUGCAAACCUCCACAGUUUGCCCAGAGCCUUUGUCAGAUUGCAGAGGGAUUUGCACCCUCGAAAACAUUACCGCCACUGACUUGGAAGAGGGCCCAAGACAAGCCUGUGAACAUGGAGACGAGCAGCGAGCUGGAC